ACAGUUUACUGCCAUGGGAUGGGACUGCGGCCUAUCAGCUGUUGGUGAGGUAAUGGCCCACCAAGGCGAUUACAGGUACGGGCUCUGAGAGGAGAAGCCCGGAGAUGGGUACUGAGACACGGACCCAGGCCCUAUGGGGCGCAGCAGGCGAGAAACCUUAGCAAUGUGCGAAAGCACGACUGGGUCAGUCCGAGUGAUUCCUGAUAAAGGAGUCUUUUGCCUGUCCUAAAAACACAGGUGAAUAAGGGGUGGGCAAGUCUGGUGUCAGCCGCCGCGGUAAUACCAGCACCUCGAGUGGUCAGGACGUUUAUUGGGCCUAAAGCAUCCGUAGCCGGCGCUGCAAGUCUUCGGUUAAAUCCACCUGCUCAACAGAUGGGCUGCUGGAGAUACUACAGCGCUAGGGAGUGGGAGAGGCAGACGGUAUUCAGUGGGUAGGGGUAAAAUCCUCUGAUCCAUUGAGGACCACCAGUGGCGAAGGCGGUCUGCCAGAACACGUUCGACGGUGAGGGAUGAAAGCUGGGGGAGCAAACCGGAUUAGAUACCCGGGUAGUCCCAGCUGUAAACGAUGCAAACUCGGUGAUGCAUUGGCUUAUGGCCAAU
rnacentral:rRNA from 1 species